CUAUUUGUUGAAUGGAAUGAGCAAUUAGUGGGUGGAAUAUUAUUGCGAUCUUAACGAGACUCGUUAAAGCUAAAGAAGAUAUGUAGUAAAGAGAAGGCAGGGGUGGCUGCUGGUUGGAGGAGGGGGGUGACAGUCGUGCACAUGGAUUCCACAUUUAAAUGAGGGACUUGAAACGGAGUCUACAACACGGUGCGCCUACACUCACUAGGCUAUAUGAACAUAAGCUCUAUACAUCUGUCGAGACCACAGUGAUAGACUCCACUUGCUGCUGAUGCUAGCUCAGCAUCCCUCUGCUGGCUCCACAGUGGUUGGGUUUAAUGCAAAGGCGAAACACCUCUACACCUCGAAGGUGAGCUGCUGCACCAGUUUUGCCUUUAAACUGCAAAAACACUGUUAACUGGAGUUCACUUGACUACAGCCACACUGUAAGAGUGUCUUAUUAGCCCAAAUCAGAUGCAGCAUCUAGACAUAAAUCCAACACAGCUUAAGCUAAUUCAGGAAUUCAUGAAUUCAAGAAUAAGUGAUUUCACUUUUUGCAUUCCAUCACAGCUUUUGGAGGAAUCUGAUGACUCUUCAUGCCAUUUAGCAGUCUGGCAAUUUGAUUUCCCUGUCAUAUUGCUUGUUGUUUAUCUUUCAGAGAGAUAGCAUAGAUUACCUCAGAUUUGGGGAAGGAAGGGAGAAAUGGAAGUGGUGGUGUUGUGAGUUUUAUUUUUCUCCAAUAUCACACUCGUUUGCUUCCCUGUCAUCUGAAACUUCAGUGAAGCAACUCCAAGUACCACUUGAAUUGGUCGCUUUGGAAAGCUUCUUGGACUGGAAAUAACCUGUAUUGAAAUGCUGACUGCAUAUUGCUGCUCUAAUCCACUGUCGCCCGGCCGGCGUUUCGAAGAGGCCCCUGUAUGCUGAAUAUCCUGAAAGCCUGGCGUCUCCAGGUGGUUAACCCGAUCACCUUACACAACCACUAAGUUUUACGUGUGUGUGUGCGUGUUUUUUUUUUUUAAACUUGGAAUUACUUGGAAAUCUGUGCUUCUAGGCAAUACGGAAAUUACCGAGGGGGUGACGAAACAUAAGGACUGAACUGGGGUGCGCAUAAGCCCCUGUUAAAUCACUUUAUUUAACACAGCCCUUUGUUUACGUUAAGCAUGUAAUUAACACCCCCAAACAAGUUUAUUCACCUGGGCUAAUUGUCUGUUUAUCCCCGAGCUUCCACUGCUGUAGUCUUUGCGAUAAGCAGCGGGGGGACUAGCUCCUCAAUACCGACGAGCCAUUAGCUCCCUCUUUGUUUAUUUAAUUCCGCACCGCCUCACAGCACAAUACAGGCACCCGUUAAACUCCAUCGCGUGACUUUACUCAAGAAGUAGAUUACUUCAGCACUUCAGCCUUAACACUAACUAACAGCAACACUAACUUGCUGUGAUUUUUUUUUUUUUUUUUUUUUUUGCACUGGGUGAACCAGAUGCUUUAAUAUCUUUCCUUCAUGCGUCGUCACAGCAUGAGCUCUUGGACCUGGAGGAGCCGAAAAUAAGGUAAAGAAUUUUCGACCCAUCUCCCAUAGCUGUAUUUAAACAUGGUUUUAUCAUGCGAUUAAAAGCGUCCUCCAGCCUGUCCUCACUCUGACACGCGCGCAGUUUUCCACAUGUGAUUUCAGUGCCAUUAAAUCCUGCAGCAGCGCGUGCGACCAGCUGGGAGAAGAAUUUAGGAGCGCGCAUCUCCAUGCUCCUGUUUCAGGUUCUAGUUUAAAACACCUUUUAUUUUUUUUAUUUUGUAGAUUUUUUGUAGCUCAUUGCAUGGUUGAUUUGGACCGAAGCUGUUCUGUGGACACAGCGAUAGUGGAAACACUCACUGCAGGUUUUGUGCACGGUGGAAUCCCUGAGAUGCGCGUGAUCGCAUUUAUGUAAGACGCAUUUAUGCUUUGCAUUUAAUCUGUCUUGACUUGUUUUGCCUCCUCUUCCUGUCGUCAUUUCUUCUUCGCUGCUUUUUUCCCCCUCCCAUUCAUCACACAAGUCUCUCUUUUUUUUUCUUCUUUCUUUCUUUGCAGCUGCGAAAUGCUGUUUCAGACUAUUGUCGCAAGUAAGUUUUCUUUUUUCUUGCUAAACGGAUGCAGUUGGCAGGUGACGGUGGUCUGUCUCACGUGCCCGAGUGUGAACAUCAUCUUUACAUCUCCUUCCGCCGCGGAUACGCUGCAUGCUCUCCACUCCAAAAAAUCCGGAAAGGGCAAACGCAGCUUGCAGCUUUGUGGGGCCGUCGGGAUGGGGCGCAACUGCCCCUUUUUAUUUGCUUAGUCGAAAUCUUUCAACCUCUUCUUCUGUGCACCGUCCAGGACCUUUGCAUAGCCGUAACCUACAGACGUGAUGUGGGGUUUUUGACACUCUUCUGAGGCACCUUGCACUGCUAAUGUGAGUACAGUGCUCAUCCAGCACAUGCCCUAUAACCUUAAAAUACCUUAACUAUAGGCUAGAUGUUCUAACUACUGAAGCACAAAUGCGAAGUGUUACAGUGUAGAUUGGAACUUCCAUAUUUCACACUUUAUUAGUAGGUCACAUAGCUCCGAGGAAGUAUCCUAUUACACAGUUACAGAAAUAAAAUAGUAUAGAUGCAAUUUCAUUAUCACAGUUUCCUUCAAUGAUAGAAUUCGAUUUCCAAAAAAAAGUUCCUUAUUGAUUCUUUAAGGAAGUGUUGCAUAAAUAAGGGUUCUUAGCUUGUACUUCUACUUAGGUUCUACUUCAAACCCUUUCUGACACUUUAAGACUUUCCCCAGAGGACCAGCUGAAGAAGCUGGAAGGGUUCUAGAUUUUCCACGAGUGUAAAGUUCAUAUACUCUUAACACUUGCUUUUGUCAUUCUGGUUUAGACUUCCGUUCUUAUUGAAAACGAACGUUAAGCUGUUUUGGCAAAGUCCAUCUUAUUGUACUGUGAAGGUUUUGUUCUGCAUCACCAUGUCUUUUUUUGUGUGGUCUCAUUAAGUGGGCAUCCUGCUAGGUCUGCAGAAUUAUACGGGAGCUGUCCAAUCAGUGCAUGUGCACGGCUUGUUAGCGACAUUUAAUGAGGCUUUUCCGCGCACCGAGAGAAUGGCACCUCAAUGUUAGAUUUACCUUGUGUCAACUCGUUACUUCUAAUGAAGGCAUUGGAGGAUUCUCUGCUGAAUGGAACCAGGCGGCCGGAACUGUAGGCCCUCCUUAGCCCUCUGAGUUCUCUUGCCUCUGCCUAGCCAAACUCCAUAAUAUGUGUGUGUAUGUGUGUGUGUGUGUGUGUGUGUGUGUGUGCAUGUGUGUGUGUGUGCGCGCGCGCGGGCUGGUGAGGGGCCUUUUUUUUUUUUUUUUUUUUUUUUUAAACAGAGAUCACUCUUAUAUGGGUGUACAUGCGCGACAUCUGCCUUUAUACCCAGAGAGGACAGAUCAGCCACACGGUUCGCUAUAGCAAGGGCUCUUAUAUUGCUGUGCUGAUUGACCUGGGCGUCAGGUCACUUUGCUUCUUAGUGAUGUGAGAUAAAGCCAUAACACACCCUCUUAUAUAUUUUACCUCCUAACAUUCCCCCAUCCUCUCUGAAGCGUCUCACACACACACACACACACACACGCUCCGGACGCUUAAAAUCUAUUAUAAAUCUCAUGGUUUUGCUGGUCGUAACUUAAAAAAAAAUUCUUUUUAAGACUUUAUAUAGCCUACUAAAAGAGCAAUGUGUCACAGUUCUGAAUUACACAAACUACCAACGAGUCUAUGUUUUUAGACGGUAGUUUGAUUGAUUAUACGAACAAUGGUUUAUUUAUGGCGCUAGGAAUAAUUGUGUUAGGAGUUUUCUAGCACAGUAUGUCAUUCAUAUGGAAAUGCAAAGCAUUCAGUUUAGCUUAGACUAUAAUUUUAUGCAAAUCUGAAAAGAGAGAUUUAAAAAAUCGGCAGUCAUUUAGCCUUGUAAAAUGAUGACGUUUCUUAAGUCAUAAGGGCAUUUUAAAUUUGGGAGUUAUAAAACACUUUUUAUACAUUUGUAUAUAUUAGAUAUUAUGUUAAAUAUUACAAUAGGGAAUGACAAUAAUAAUUAAAUGACUAUAGUAUUAGCAAUAAAUAACUAGUAUUAUCAGCACUAACAUCAUGCACAUAAAUGGAUUUAUUCUUUCCUCUGAACAUAAGUCAAUAUGUCAGGCACUAGGCCAAAGAAGCAAGAGAAAUGAUUCAUUAUUGACAGUGGAGAGUAGAGAUUUACUCUACUGUUAUAUCAGAAGCGGUGCACAGAUUAUUGUCUUUCUGACAGGAGAACUCUGCUGUGGGAUCCUAGAACCUUUAAGAGUUCCCACAGAGGGACAUGUGAAGAACCCUUAAGGGCGCUACAUUUUCUAAUAGUGUAGUUACAAAUCAUAAAGGCUUUUUUUUUUUUUUUUUUUGUCGCAUACUCUACAUUCUAACAACUAAGUUAAAGGCUGAAAAAAGGCUUUCGCUUGCAGGGCAGUGGCAGCUCUGGGUGCAGGCGGAGUAAUCAUACACUGUUCAAGGUGUGUGAGACGACCGCUUAACGCACAAACAAGAUAAUUCAUGCAUUUGCUCGUGGCCCUGAGCCUGUGUAGACAACACAUUACUCUCCACACGCACACACACACACACACACACACACACACACACACACACACACACACACUCCUAAAUUAUUCCUCAGGCAACAGUACUCAACAUAUGUGCUCAUUAGCUCACUGUAGUAUUUAAAACAA